CACCAGAACGGCCAGGUGAGAGAGGGGGAGCGAGGGAGAGGCCGAGUCACAUGUCCUCCGACUGUCUAGAGCCCACACCUCUUCAGGAAGUACAAGAAGGAGCUGAAUUCCCGAGAGUUCUGUGCGUCGGCCGCGGAGUCUCCAAUAUACACCCCUUCAAAAGGCCGCGCUGUGCCACUGCCACAUAUCCACAAUGAGGGGCCAAAGGUUUUAAGAAAACGAAGACACCUGUCAGCUCUCCUGACAUCUUCACUGCUUAAGUAACUCGGUAACAACAUCUGAGGCGAUCUCUGGUUGCUAAUCAUUAGAGCUCAACAGUUCCGUUAACUCGGGAUACCUUAUAACUUGCUCAACUCCACAUGAAGAUUUAUUUUUAUAAAAGGGUCCUCUGUACCUUUAUUACACCACUCAGAACUUCACUCAAAAUCUCCAUCUAGCUCUCCUUCUGAUGAGUACAUUUUGUUAGUUUUUCAUGCAAACUUAAUCCUCAAAUAAAACAAAACUACCACAGAGACUUAUGACUGAGUGUGACUUGCCCUAGUUCAUUUGUCUGAGAAACUCCUACUCAUCCUUCAAGACACACCACAAACGCCACGUCCUCUGAACAGCUUUCUGGAAUGCCCAGAUAGAAUAAUGGCACUAUUCACUUUUUGACAAUCCUUAAUGGAACAUCCAUGCUGAUUUUUAGAGGCGGCCUACUGAUUCGACCAAGUGCAAGCAGAAGACUGCUGGCGUCCGGCGGGGCCUGGGAUGUCGGUUCCCGUCCUCUGUCCUGUUCCAGGUUCUCCCACGCGCUGCCGGUCUCCUUCCCAACCUGCCUGCUUGAUGCCCUUCCAAACUUUACUCAUUAAAAGUGAUUCUUUUAC